UGGGGAAUAUUGCACAAUGGGCGAAAGCCUGAUGCAGCAACGCCGCGUGAGUGAUGAAGGUCUUCGGAUUGUAAAGCUCUGUCUUUUGGGACGAUAAUGACGGUACCAAAGGAGGAAGCCACGGCUAGCUACGUGCCAGCAGCCGCGGUAAUACGUAGGUGGCGAGCGUUGUCCGGAUUUACUGGGCGUAAAGGGUGCGUAGGCGGAUGUUUAAGUGAGAUGUGAAGUACCCGGGCUUAACUUGGGUGCUGCAUUUCAAACUGGAUAUCUAGAGUGCAGGAGAGGAGAAUGGAAUUCCUAGUGUAGCGGUGAAAUGCGUAGAGAUUAGGAAGAACACCAGUGGCGAAGGCGAUUCUCUGGACUGUAACUGACGCUGAGGCACGAAAGCGUGGGUAGCAAACAGGAUUAGAUACCCUGGUAGUCCACGCCGUAAACGAUGAGUACUAGGUGUAGGAGGUAUCGACCCCUUCUGUGCCGCAGUAAACACAUUCAAGUACUCCGCCUGGGAAGUACGAUCGCAAGAUUAAAAC
rnacentral:rRNA from 1 species